rnacentral:rRNA from 1 species
GACGAACGCUGGCGGCGUGCUUAAUACAUGCAAGUCGAACGGUAAGGGCCUGCUUUUGUGCGGUGCUCGAGUGGCGAACGGGUGAGUAACACGUGAGUAACCUGCCCUGGACUUGGGGAUAACUUCAGGAAACUGGGGCUAAUACCGCAUAGGAGCACCUGCUGCAUGAUGGGUGCUGAAAAGUUUCGGCGGCUGGGGAAGGACUCGCGGCUAAUCAGAUUGUUGGUGGGGUAGUGGCUUACAAUGGCUAAGACGGGUAGCCAAACUGAGAGGGUGACCGGCCACAGAGGGACUGAGGAAGGAGCAAGACUCCUUCGGGGGGCAGCGAAGGGGAAUAGAGCAAGAAAGGCGGAGUGCGGGUGGAGGAUCGCCGGAUGCGAGAUGACGGCUGUCAGGUAGUAAACCGUUUUCGAGUGGGACGAAGCGUGAGUGACGGUAAUGGGUAAGAAAGCGACGGCUAACUACGUG